rnacentral:rRNA from 1 species
GAUGAACGCUGGCGGCGUGCCUAAUACAUGCAAGUCGAGCGAACAGAUGAGGAGCUUGCUCCUCUGACGUUAGCGGCGGACGGGUGAGUAACACGUGGAUAACCGACCUAUAAGACUGGGAUAACUUCGGGAAACCGGAGCUAAUACCGGAUAAUAUAUUGAACCGCAUGGUUCAAUAGUGAAAGACGGUUUUGCUGUCACUUAUAGAUGGAUCCGCGCCGCAUUAGCUAGUUGGUAAGGUAACGGCUUACCAAGGCAACGAUGCGUAGCCGACCUGAGAGGGGGAUCGGCCACGCUGGAAGUGAGACACGGUCCAGACUCCUACGGGGAGCAGCAGUAGGGAAUCAUCCGAGAUGGGCGAGAGCCUGACGGAGCAACGCCGCGUGGGUGAUGAAGGUCUUCGGAUCGGAAAACACUGUUAUUAGGGAAGAACAAAUGUGUAAGUAACUAUGCACGUCUUGACGGUACCUAAUCAGAAAGCCGCGGCUAACUGCG